rnacentral:rRNA from 1 species
AGAAUCAACGCUGGCGGCGUGCCUAACACAUGCAAGUCGAACGAGAAAGGGACUUCGGUCCUGAGUAAAGUGGCGCACGGGUGAGUAACACGUGACUAACCUACCCUUGAGUGGGGAAUAACUUCGAGAAAAUCGAGGCUAAUACCGCAUAAUACCUACGGGUCAAAGGAGCAAUUCGCUUAAGGAGGGGUCGCGGCAGAUUAGCUAGUUGGCGGGUAAUGGCCCACCAAGGCAGUGAUCUGUA